CAUGUCAGCAAAUGAUUUGCUGUCUGAACACACAAAAAUCUGAUUUGGACACUUGUAACUUCCUGUUUGGACAGUCCGUAUUCCAAAACAGAUUUGAAAAACAAAACCAGCCUCAGCACUGCGCAGCUGAUUCAAAUGAUCAACUCAUCAUCAAGCUUCAAGUGAUACCUUGCAAUUGGAGAUUCCUUCAAAACAAUUGCUGAUAGUUACAAGGUUGGGUGACAAGGGCCAUCUGGGACUGCCUCCUGGAGGUAUUCAGGCGUGUGAAGGCUACCUGUGUCCUGCAUAACUUCAUGAGAAUGGACAUGAGGACCAGGAGGGGAUAUGCAGCUCACUGCCGUGUGCCAGAGGAGAAGUCAGCUGCUCUGCAGGAGGGGAUCUGCAGCUCACCGCUGUGUGCCAGAGGAGAAGUCAGCUGCUCUGCAGGAUGUUUCAACGAUGGGGUCCAACAACGCAGCAAGAGAGACAAUCCCUGUGUGGGAGAUUUUCACCUCCUACAUCUUCGAAGAGGGUGCUGUUCCCUGGCAACACCCUGGCAAGACUACACUAUGCACAACACAUUUCCUCUAGGUUAUAUCACCUGUGUCGGUGAGCACCUCCUGCAUCUGAACUGGCUGACACAUAGAGGGCACAGCAUGAUCAGAGGCAUGUUUUGAUGUGAGAGAGGAUGCCAACCCCCAGUCCCGUCAUCGCCACCUCACCCGCUCUUAAGAUAACCUUCGGGCCGACUGGGAGCCCAAGGCUGGUUAAGAGACACCACUAGAGACACUAAUUGUAAAUGUGAUGAACUGAGAGAAUAUUAGGGUAGCACUGUGAUUCAUUAAUCAUAUGCUGUCUUCCCUGCUCCUAUGUUCUUACCUCUUUCCCUUUCUGUCUUUUACACCUCUCUCACCACCACUUUAUUCCUUUGUUUUUAUAUGCACAACAGAUCUGCACAUGAACUUGUAUUUAUAAUAUAAUAUGACAAUUCAAAUAUUUAUAAUGCAUGUAUUAUGUGUUUAUAAUAUUUGGUUAAUUAACUUCUUUCAAUAAAGCAU